rnacentral:tmRNA from 1 species
GGGGGUGAAUCUGGCUUCGACUGGAAGCAUGGAUUCCUAGGCGCAUGUCGAGGUGCGGUACCUCGUUAAACAGUCGCAAAAAAAUAGUCGCAAACGACGAAACCUACGCUUUGGCAGCUUAAUAACCUGCGCUUAGCCCUCGGUUCUAAGCCUUUCCAGUGACGCUUAGUCAUACCGGGGUCGGUUUUCACUGGAUCGCGUGGAGUCCCCGUCUGAGGAGGAAGCGUUAAAUGAAUCUAUCAGACUGGGUGCGUUGUGGCGUGGCAAUCCGCAGCACGUACCAAGAUUAAAGACUGCCUAAACAUGUAGUGCUGAAGAUGAAGUCUUUUGGGACGAGGGUUCGAGUCCCUCCACCUCCACCA